UGUGGCAGGAGGUGUGUUUUCUGGAGGACUAGGGCUGUGGAGAGAGGCAGUUCUGGGAUGGACAAGUCUCACGGUGGCAUCUGAAGACAAAUGGCUUGAGGCUCAGGCGUUGUUUGAAAGCCAUUCCUCACAUUCUUUGUUUACUGUCAGCACAGUGAGUUGUGGGCUGUCACUUUAGCUGUUAAUGGGACUAAACACUUACGUCAACAGAUUAAGCCCUGCUAAAACAUUAAGAAAAUUGGCCGAAACAGAGUUUGGAUGGAUGCUGGUCUAACAGCUGUUUCUUUAGGGGUCGGUGGAGGAAAGGGCUGAAGUUUGACCAACUGUUAAAUCCCCUGUGAGCCCUUCCUAGCCACAGACUUCUUGACUUCAAAAUGUCAUUGAGCAAUGCGCUCUAAUAACUCAGACGGCAACCAGGAACAGUUGCGGCUGCAUGAUGAACAAAGUUUGUGUUUGAAACCUCACCGAACUGAUCCCAAGAGGCUGGGUGGUGUUCAGAGGGCUGGGAGGGCGCCCUGCACGGUGGUUUACCGUUCGCCACAGUGCAGCCCUGCACACAAGUCGUGUUUGUUUGCUUCAGAGCCUUAGGUCAUUUUCAGGGUCCCUCAUCCAGUGACUCCCAGCUCUUAGCAGGAGGGAAUGGAAUUGCUGAAAGCUUUCAGUUGUGAAAUUGUUUCUAAACUGCACAGAAAGCUGCGUGUCGACCUGAGGUCGCACGCUAGACUGUAUGACUCAGUACUUGUCAGGGUUUUGUUGAAGGGAUGCGAUUUUUUUUUUGUCCUGCCUACGGUUGUAGAGUCAGGUGGUGCCACGUCUUUCCUGCUGGCACACCCAGCCUUACUCAGCAGCCAGUGAAGGAGGACUCGGCUGUCGAUGACAGAGCUCCUUCAACACCCAGCGUAAUCGUUUUUACUCCGCAUUUGUACAGUGCUACUUUAGUAUUGUCAGGCAACUCCAAGACGCCCGGUACAAGCUUGAUGAUAAUUGGUAGAAGCUUGAUGAUAAUUGGUAGACGAUUCACUCUGAAUGCUAAUGAUGAAAUCUGAUCUGGGGUUCCUGCGCCACCCUUUGCAGCACAGGGCUGCCCUCACAUCUUCGCUUUCCAAAGUCCUAUGUUAAUGGCAUCCGUUUCUCUUUCAAGGCUUCCGGAAGGAUUUCUCCCAUGUCUGAUGUGAGCUGUAGAUGUGUCCCCUGUCCCAGCAUCCAGCGAAAUGAUAGCGCCCUCAUUCCCUCCAGUCUCCUGCCUCCUCUCACCCCAGGAAUUCCCUACUGUCCUGUUCCAAACGCUAGUGGCUCCCAACUGCAUUCUCUAUCUUUUAUUUCCUCACUGCUUGCACAAUGGUUGUGAGAACAAUGCAAAAUGGCCACGCAGUUGGAUCGAGGCAUGGCUCUGGAUGUGCAAGAAAUGCACAAGAGUAGCGACAAGCUACGGUUUUUGUUAGUCAUUACAUUGUUUUUAACGGAAAUAAAACGUGUGUGAAUUUUAACAAA